GCAGGCGGCCGGACGAUCGCUGCCCUCCGCACGCAAGUGUCUAUCUUGGGUGUCGGAGGGGGGAGGAAAGUCCGAACUCCGCAGGGCAGUGUGCCGGAUAACGUCCGGGACGGAUGCUUCAAGGCAUCUGGACGGCCAGUGCAACAGAGAAUAUACCGCCUCGUCUUUCGCAAGAAAGACAGGGUAAGGGUGAAAAGGUGCGGUAAGAGCGCACCGGUUUUUGCGUAAGCAAAAACGCUUGGUAAACCCCACACGGAGCAAGACCAAAUAGGCAGGGAGUCCGGUUGCCCUCUUCAGAGCAGCCGGCGCGCAUCGGCCCGGUGCGCCCAGGUGAAGAGUGUUGUGCCGGAACCUGCGGGUAGGUUGCUAAAGCGCCGCAGUAAUGCGUCGCGUAGAGGAAUGAUCGUCUAGAACAAAAUUCGGCUUACGGGCCGUCUGCAGAA
rnacentral:RNase_P_RNA from 1 species